GCUGCAGAACUGCUCUCUGCUGGGAGCUGGGGUGGGCACAGAGGUGCCACAAAACCCAGAGCUUUGUGACAUGGGGUGGCAGGUCAUGAAUUUCAGAGCAUGAGGAUCUGUUGGCCUGGGACUCUUUCUUCCCCUCAUCAUCAUUAAAGCCAUGAGCUUUCAGAGUCUUCUCCACGCUUCCUUCCCCAGCAAAACAUCAGAGUGGUCUCCUUAUGGCUUAUUUCCACCACAGGGGAUAAGGAGGGGUUGUCUCCCUCUCUGGAACUGCUAAACUGGGGACUAGAAAUGCAUUUGCAGACAGAUGCAGCUGACUGCAGGUUGCAAUGACAGAGGAAAGAAAAAUAUUGAAACUGGAAGACUGAGGACUAGUCAUUGUUGAGAAGUGGAAAUCCAGGACACGUGAGACCCCUUAAAACUUGAUGCAGGGUUGCUCAAAAUCAGAAGAAUGGGAAUUCUCUAAUUUUAUCUCUGAGCAGUAUCUUGGAUGCCAGCACCCCAGACUGUCAGGUAUGUGGGCCCAACAUUAACUCCUGCUGAUGUUCAGCCCUGACAAUGAUCCCAACACAGCAGUGUUUGUGGCUGACACUGCAGACAGGUGCCAGCAGGACUCCUGUCAUGCCCCAUCAGGGCUAAGAGAGGUCCACAGGACACUGGCCAUCCACCUUCCAUGUUCUCCACAGACAAAGAAACACACAAAGACACUUGCCACGUUCUUUUGUCUUUUUUUUUUUUUUAAUUAUUCCUUCAUAUUCAAACUUCACAAACAGUGUGAACUUGUACAAUACCUCAGAAAGUGAAACUUACAAAAAAAGUGCUGGUAACAUUAAAAAAAAAAAACCAAAAAAAAAAAACAAACAUCAUUCUUAGCAACAUCAAUUACUCUUCCACACAAAACAGAAACCUUGUAAAAUUUAUUUCCGUAUUUUUUUAAGGCGUAAUACUUCCGUAUAAAGUAUAUGCAAGAGAUAAAACUUCACAGUAUUCCAAAAUGUCACAAUAAUAAUAAUAAUAAUAUAGUAUAAUGAAGCGCUACAGUUAAUUUUCUUUUUUUAUUUUUUUUUUUUCCUGUUUUAAAUAACAAAUACAAGUCACAGGUAAAUAUACGUGAGAAAAAUACGAGGCUAAUAUUAAAUGGCAGGUAAGGAUACUCUCACUGUAAGAAAAAACUGGCAGGAUGUGUGUAUUUAUUCUAUAUUUUAAAGCACUUGAUAGAAAAGGCGUAUGCAAGGUAUUUUUUUUUUUUUAAGAAUUUUCUAUUUGCUUGUUUUUGAUAACUGACAUACCAUUUACAGAGUAUAAUGAGAGAAAAAAAAGGAACUUAACCCCUCAAAACUUUCGACCUGCUCUUCACAUCAUCACAAACCGUGUUUCUGGAGAGAUGCCUGUACAGCUGUGGGGUGUGUGUGUGCGCACAGCGGUGCGUGCAGGGCUGUGCGGGUGGGCGGCUGUCUCAUCACACGGGCAGAGAUCCAUGUCCUGCGCGGGGACCUCUGCCAGCUGAGGCCAAAUCCUCCAGCCUCCACCUUGGCAGGACAAUGCCCGCGGUCAUCGCCACCGGUUGCCUGCACAAAGACUUUAGGAUUUAGGCCUGGGUGCGGUUUCCCAUUCACUCGGCAUCUAUUGACUGCUGGGAAUUCCUUUGGCCCCAAGAAGAAAAUGUCCAAUUUUUACUUUUUACAUCUGCACGCAAGAGCGUGCGCUCUCCCCUCCACCGUUUAGCUCCCAUCCACGCCACAGAGCAAAGACCAACUGGGAAACUCCCGUCUGGGUCCCAGCCAGCACCACGAGGAAUGGGAAUGUGGAUGGAUGUGCCCGUGCAGCGUUCUCCGCAUGGCCCUGCCCGUGCUCACAGCAGCCACUCGGCCCAAGGGGAACAAAAAGACAGCAGAUAGCAUUAACACAUCAGUAAGGUGCUCAAAGAAAAAAAGGCAGCUCCCACUCCUGGAAUGGGAAGCCACAUAAGGUGCUUCAAAAAGUUUUUUUUAUUUUUUUUUUUUUUUUUUUUUUUUUUUUUUUUUUCAGUUUCAGACAUUUUAAAAAAAGGACUGAUUGAGUAUGUGGUACGUGAGAGCAAGGCCGAGAGUUUUGAGAUUUCUGA